rfam:Picea glauca, whole genome shotgun sequence.
AUGCAAUGUAAUUCCUACAACAUUAAUGAAACAUAUACCAUUAGAACUAUGUAAUUAAGCGUUCUUGGAAUAGUGUAGUACUGGGAUGGAUGACCUCCUAGGAAGUCCUAGUGUUUUACAUG